UCGUUAGCUCAGUGGUAGAGCAGUUGGCUUUUAACCAAUUGGUCGUAGGUUCGAAUCCCACACGAC
rnacentral:tRNA from 2 species